GUCGCCACAGUGAAUUAGGAAUUUUAAAGGUCUUCCUCUUUAUUUUCUAUUCUCAAAUUGAAUCCCAAUCAAUCGCCCCGGUGUCGUCGUGUCAAACCCAAGACUGAUCGGUGAAGUUCGUCGGAGUUCAAAAUCAUGAACCAUAUGUCGGCUGUUUCUAAUCUUGUCUUUGGUUUUGUUGCGUUAGGGUUUGCUAAUUCGCCACGGUCCGUGAAGCAAUUAAGAGGUCCAGACAUCCCAAACAGUCUCUUUUGAAUAAUCGAAAGUGCAACUCAAGUGAGGAUAUUUGUUGUGGCGAGGGUUGUUGAUUCAUCGUUUCAUCCGAGCAGAACGAAAGGAAAGCUUUUGGUAGAUUGUUAUUUUGUUAUUUAUUAAUAGAUUUAGAUAAAAUAUUACAUUUGGGUGAAUUUUCGGAUAUUUAGAAAGCUUCAUAUGAACAAAAGUUUUUGACUUGUUUGAUCCGUAGGUGUGAG
rnacentral:lncRNA from 1 species